GUCUGCCCUAUAGAUCAUCGUGUCCCAGAGAUCUACAGCAUAAUGGACUGGAAGCAGUCUGUGUUUUGGAGCCAAGCCCAGCAAAGUCUCAAUUCCUUCUCCUUCAAUCGCUAUCUGGAUGAAUAAGGGCAAGUCAUUGACCCUCUAUGGGCCUCAGUUUCCUCACCCAUAAACUGGAGUUAAAGAUACCGAGACUUGAGGAAUUAUGUCCAAGUUUCCAGCAUUGAACAUGAAGCAAGCAGGAUUUAUUGGCACAUCAUGAAAACCACAAAGCCCAUGCUUCUACUGCAGUGUUGAGUUUGCAUGCCAACAGGAAAUAAUUCUUCAUGGGAGUCAGAACAUUUGUAUUAAACACCUGAUUUUACUGGGCAACAGAGUGAGACCUUGUCUCUACAAAAAAUAAACAAAACUAACCAGGCACAGUGGUGUGCACCUGUAGUCCCAGCUACUUGGGAGGCUGAGGCUAUUGGCAGGAGAUCUUCUCAGAAGAAAAAGAAUGGAGG
rnacentral:lncRNA from 1 species